GAUGAACGCUGGCGGCGUGCCUAAUACAUGCAAGUCGAGCGAACGGACGAGAAGCUUGCUUCUCUGAUGUUAGCGGCGGACGGGUGAGUAACACGUGGAUAACCUACCUAUAAGUCUGGGAUAACUUCGGGAAACCGGAGCUAAUACCGGAUAAUAUUUUGAACCGCAUGGUUCAAAAGUGAAAGACGGUCUUGCUGUCACUUAUAGAUGGAUCCGCACUGCAUUAGCUAGUUGGUAAGGUAACGGCUUACCAAGGCAACGAUGCAUAGCCGACCUGAGAGGGUGAUAGGCCACACUGGAACUGAGACGCGGUCCACACUCCUACGGGAGGCACCAGUAGGGAAUCUUCCGCAAUAGGCGAAAGCCUGACGGUACAACGCCGCGUGAGUGAUGAAGGUCUUCGGAUCGUAAAACUCUGUUAUUAGGGAAGAACAUAUGUGUAAGUAACUGUGCACAUCUUUACGGUACCUGAUCAGAAAGCCACGGCUGACUACGGG
rnacentral:rRNA from 1 species